rnacentral:rRNA from 1 species
UUGGUGGUCGGUGUACAGGUGGUGCAUGGCUGUCGUCAGCUCGUGUCGUGAGAUGGUUGGGUUAACGUCCCGCAACGAGCGCAACCCUUGUCCCGUGUUGCCAGCAACUCUUCGGAGUUGGGGACUCACGGGAGACCGCCGGGGUCAACUCGGAGGAAGGUGGGGACGACGUCAAGUCAUCAUGCCCCUUAUGUCUUGGGCUGCACACGUGCUACAAUGGCCGGUACAAUGAGCUGCGAUACCGCAAGGUGGAGCGAAUCUCAAAAAAGCCGGUCUCAGUUCGGAUUGGGGUCUGCAACUCGACCCCAUGAAGUCGGAGUCGCUAGUAAUCGCAGAUCAGCAUUGCUGCGGUGAAUACGUUCCCGGGCCUUGUACACACCGCCCGUCACGUCACGAAAGUCGGUAACACCCGAAGCCGGUGGCCCAACCCCUUGUGGGAGGGAGCUGUCGAAGGUGGGACUGGCGAUUGGGACGAAGUCGUAACAAGGUAGGCGUAGCGAG